UCCAGCUCGCGCUCCUUCUCGCGCUCGCGUUCCUUCUCGCGCUCCCGCUCGCGCUCGCGCUCCUUUUCUUCGCGCGCGCGCUGCUCGGCCUCGCGCCGCACCUUCUCUACCAGGUCGGCCCGCUUCUUGGCCAGCUUGGAGCCCUCCAGCGGCACGAAGUACAGAUCGCUGCGCGCGCACGAGUUAAAGCCGCGGUCCAGGUGUUUGUUGAACCUGCCGGGCGCCGAGACCCUGCCUGAAAACCAGGCCCUAGAAAGGGAGAGCCUGGAAUCCCCCAUGCCCUACCCAUUCCUCUUUGGCACUGCCUGGUCACCUGACACUCUGGCCAGAGCCCUGAAGAUCUGACUGACAUCCAGACAGGCCACUUCCAUAAGCACUCGGGCUGUGGAGACCCCAUUCUCCUCUGCCCGGGCAGCUGGAUACAGAAACUUCUCUGCUUCACCCUAAGUUCCCCCCAGCUACAGCCUGGGAAGCAAGAAGUAGGCUCUCCAAGUUUUCAGCACCUGGAACUUGCAGGGUCUGUCUGCAGUGAAGCCUGUUGGAAAAAGACCAUCAGAGUCUCCAAACUGGACAACAGAGUCUGAAGGGGGUACUGCUGCACUUGUCAAGGGGCUGAGUGGGCAGCCCGGCCAUGACACACUGCUGGCUUGCCCAUGGGCCGCUCCAGCUGUCUGUAAGUGAGGGCAAUGUCAUCCCCUUCAUCUCUCGGGAAGGCAGAAAGCACAGGUGUUUCUAUGCGCCCCAAUUCAGGAGAUCACACUACUUCCCCCUUGGAAAUAUAUGCGCACACAAAAUUCCACAGAGCCUUACAAAAGAAGCACAAAGAGAUGUACCUGAAAUAUAAGCUGAUUUAUUGAGUGCCUUAUGUCAAGCCCUUAGAUGACAUAAAGUCCAAUUUCAUUUCAUAUUUACAACCCUGAAAGUGAAAUUCAUUCAGUCGUGUCCGAUUCUUU